rnacentral:rRNA from 1 species
AGCGAACGCUGGCGGCAGGCUUAACACAUGCAAGUCGAGCGGGCGUAGCAAUACGUCAGCGGCAGACGGGUGAGUAACACGUGGGAACGUACCUUUUGGUUCGGAACAACACAGGGAAACUUGUGCUAAUACCGAAUAAGCCCUUACGGGGAAAGAUUUAUCGCCGAAAGAUCGGCCCGCGUCUGAUUAGCUUGUUGGUGAGGUAACGGCUCACCAAGGCGACGAUCAGUAGCUGGUCNGAGAGGAUGAUCAGCCACACUGGGACUGAGACACGGCCCAGACUCCUACGGGAGGCAGCAGUGGGGAAUAUUGGACAAUGGGGGCAACCCUGAUCCAGCCAUGCCGCGUGAGUGAUGAAGGCCCUAGGGUUGUAAAGCUCUUUUGUGCGGGAAGAUAAUGACGGUACCGCAAGAAUAAGCCCCGGCUAACUUCGU